rnacentral:rRNA from 1 species
CAGUAGGGAAUCUUCGGCAAUGGACGAAAGUCUGACCGAGCAACGCCGCGUGAGUGAAGAAGGUUUUCGGAUCGUAAAACUCUGUUGGUAGAGAAGAACGUUGGUGAGAGUGGAAAGCUCAUCAAGUGACGGUAACUACCCAGAAAGGGACGGCUAACUACGUGCCUG